rnacentral:rRNA from 1 species
UACGAAGGGGGCUAGCGUUGCUCGGAAUUACUGGGCGUAAAGGGCGCGUAGGCGGCUCUGUUAGUCAGGCGUGAAAGCCCCGGGCUCAACCUAGGAACUGCAUUUGAUACGGGCGGGCUCGAGUUCCGGAGAGGAUGGUGGAAUUCCCAGUGUAGAGGUGAAAUUCGUAGAUAUUCGCAAGAACACCGGUGGCGAAGGCGGCCAACUGGACCAUUACUGACGCUGAGGCGCGAAAGCGUGGGGAGCAAACAGG